GAUGAAGAACGUAGCGAAAUGCGAUACUUGGUGUGAAUGGCAGAAUCCCGUGAACCAUCGAGUCUUUGAACGCAAGUUGCGCCCGAAGCCAUUAGGCCGAGGGCACGCCUGCCUGGGCGUCACACGUCGUUGCCCCCCCAUCUACUCCUUCGGGAUUGCGGGGGGCGGAUGAUGGCCUCCCGUGCGCCUCGUCGCGCGGUUGGCAUAAAUGCCAAGUCCUCGGCGACGCACGCCACGACAAUCGGUGGUUGCGAAACCUCGGUUGCCCGUCGUGUGCGGUCGUCGCGCAUCGAGGGCUCGAAAAAAUUGUCGGGCUCCGGCUCGGCUUUCAACGCGACCCCAGGUCAGGCGGGGUUACCCGCUGAAUUUUAGCAUAUCAAUAACGGAGGA
rnacentral:misc_RNA from 1 species